rnacentral:sRNA from 19 species
GUCGCCGGCGGCGGUGACUAGCCGCACCGCGACCAGGUUGUCGCAGCUCAGUCCGAAACGUCGGAGUCGUCCAACCCA